rnacentral:rRNA from 1 species
ACCAGACUCCUACGGGAGGCAGCAGCGGGGAAUAUUGCACAAUGGGGGAAACCCUGAUGCAGCGACGCCGCGUGAGGGAAGACGGUCUUCGGAUUGUAAACCUCUGUCUUUGGGGAAGAAAAUGACGGUACCCAAAGAGGAAGCUCCGGCUAACUACGUGCCAGCAGCCGCGGUAAUACGUAGGGAGCGAGCGUUGUCCGGAAUUACUGGGUGUAAAGGGAGCGUAGGCGGGCGAGAAAGUUGAAUGUUAAAUCUACCGGCUUAACUGGUAGCUGCGUUCAAAACUUCUUGUCUUGAGUGAAGUAGAGGCAGGCGGAAUUCCUAGUGUAGCGGUGAAAUGCGUAGAUAUCAGGAGGAACACCGGCGGCGAAGGCGGCCUGCUGGACCGCGACUGACGUUGAGGCUCGAAAGCGUGGGGAGCGAACAGGAUUAGAUACCCGAGUA